GUGGGGAAUUUUGGACAAUGGGCGCAAGCCUGAUCCAGCAAUGCCGCGUGCAGGAAGAAGGCCUUCGGGUUGUAAACUGCUUUUGUACGGAACGAAACGGUCCUGGCUAAUACCUGGGGCUAAUGACGGUACCGUAAGAAUAAGCACCGGCUAACUACGUGCCAGCAGCCGCGGUAAUACGUAGGGUGCGAGCGUUAAUCGGAAUUACUGGGCGUAAAGCGUGCGCAGGCGGUGCUGUAAGACAGGCGUGAAAUCCCCGGGCUCAACCUGGGAAUUGCGCUUGUGACUGCAGUGCUGGAGUGCGGCAGAGGGGGAUGGAAUUCCGCGUGUAGCAGUGAAAUGCGUAGAUAUGCGGAGGAACACCGAUGGCGAAGGCAAUCCCCUGGGCCUGCACUGACGCUCAUGCACGAAAGCGUGGGGAGCAAACAGGAUUAGAUACCCUUGUAGUCC
rnacentral:rRNA from 1 species